UUUUGGUAACGACUAUCGAUUACUUGAUCGAUUUUCAAUGCAUAUGCUUAAACGAUAUACUUAGAAUUAGUCUGCAAUCCAAACAAAACUAAUAUUUUCAAUAAAGAUAUUGUUAUAAACAUCUUUUUAAAUAAGUAUUUGUUGUCGUCAGAGGAUAAUAAAAUCAAUUAAUCUGUUUUAUUUAGAUGCCUAAUGUCCAACUAUGAGAGUCCUAUGAUCCCUUGAGUUCAUGUCACGCCAAAUGAACACGACCCACGCACGGCUCUAUUUGGAGACUCAAUCUUCAGUUCCCACUUGACUGCCGCACUCUUAAUAUUUCGAUUUAUUUGACUUGCAGAGAGUGAAGCGAAGCGAAUGCCUCAGCUUAGCCAGUGCUUAUAAUGUGUCUCAAAAGGACGCAAUGCAGUCAUUUUGUUCCUCCUUCUGCCUCGGCGCAGCCUUGGGCAAUUUUAAAGUCUGAUGUGUGUGUGUGUGUGCGUGUGUGUGUCUGUUGUCAGAGCAUUCAGCUAAAUCUGUCAAACAGCAAAUACAAACACAAAAUACAAAUACAAAUACAAGAGUACGAAGUACAAAUCCAAAGUACAAGUAAAUAAUAAAAUCAACUUGAAAUUCCGUUCGGGUUGUGUUCUCGUAAUGUGCCUGAAAUUGAUUUUCUUUUUGCCAGACAACCAGGCAUCAGGCGCAGAGGAAAUGUGCACGACGGAAGCGGCAGGGGGUCAUGCGACAGCUCCUCUGAGCACACACACACACACACGUCGCUGGAGUGCAUAUCCUGAGGACCCAAACUGAAGACAUAAUCGAAUUCUAGAAUCUCCUGCCUUGAAGUAUGAGAAGGAUGUAAAGAGAUCAAAAAAAAAAUGUCCUACGUCUGAACAGAAUUCCACUUUCUUCUUUGCAGGAACAGAAUUUCCUUCAGCUUAACCUUAUUUCUUCUACUCCAAAAAGCUAAUUUAUUUAUGCAAUGAUUCAAGGUAUUCAUGGGUAUUCACUUAAGUGAAUAUUAUUGCGAGCAAAAUAAAAGAAAUAAUGAAA